rnacentral:rRNA from 1 species
UGCGUAGGUGGCGGGGUAAGUCUGGUGUGAAAGCUCCGAGCUCAACUCGGAAAAGCAUUGGAAACUAUCCCGCUGGAGGGUCGGAGGGGAGACUGGAAUUCUCGGUGUAGCAGUGAAAUGCGUAGAUAUCGAGAGGAACACCAGUGGCGAAGGCGAGUCUCUGGACGACUCCUGACACUGAGGCACGAAAGCUAGGGGAACAAACA